UGGCGCAGUAGGUAGCGUGUAGGUCUCAUAAUCCUAAGGUCGCGAGUUCGAUCCUC
rnacentral:tRNA from 1 species